rnacentral:rRNA from 1 species
CCCUUAGAUGUCCUGGGCCGCACGCGCGUUACACUGAUGCAUUCAACGAGCUUAUAACCUUGGCCGAGAGGCCUGGGCAAUCUUGUUAACGUGCAUCGUGAUAGGGAUAGAUUAUUGAAAUUAUUAAUCUUGAACGAGGAAUUCCUAGUAAACGCAGAUCAUCAAUCUGCAUUGAUUACGUCCCUGCCCUUUGUACACACCGCCCGUCGCACCUACCGAUUGGAUGGUCCGGUGAAGCCUCGGGAUUGUGGUUCUUGCCGCUUUAUUGUGGCGUGACCGCGAGAACUUGUCUAAACCUUAUCAUCUAGAGGAAGGUGAAGUAGUAACA